AAUCAACGCUGGCGGCGUGCCUCAGACAUGCAAGUCGAACGCGAAAGUUCCCUUCGGGAACGAGUAGAGUGGCGUCCGGGUGAGUAACACGUAGGUAAUCUGCCUUUGGGUGGGAAUAACAACCGGAAACGGUUGCUAAUACCGCAUAAUGCAGCGGCACCGCAUGGUGACAGUUGUUAAAGCGGGGAGUCGCAAGACCUCGCGCCUAAAGAGGAGCCUGUGGCGGA
rnacentral:rRNA from 1 species